rnacentral:rRNA from 1 species
UACGGAGGGGACUAGCGUUGUUCGGAAUUACUGGGCGUAAAGCGCACGUAGGCGGAUUUGUAAGUCAGGGGUGAAAUCCCGAGGCUCAACCUCGGAACUGCCUUUGAUACUGCAAAUCUCGAGUCCGGAAGAGGUGAGUGGAAUUCCUAGUGUAGCGGUGGAAUGCGCAGAUAUCAGGAGGAACACCGAUGGCGAAGGCAGUUCUCUGGGCCGUAACUGACGCUGAGGAGCGAAAGCGUGGGGAGCGAACAGG